rnacentral:rRNA from 1 species
UACGUAGGUGGCGAGCGUUGACCGGAUUUACUGGGCGUAAAGGGAGCGUAGGCGGACUUUUAAGUGAGAUGUGAAAUACCCGGGCUCAACUUGGGUGCUGCAUUCCAAACUGGAAGUCUAGAGUGCAGGAGAGGAGAAUGGAAUUCCUAGUGUAGCGGUGAAAUGCGUAGAGAUUAGGAAGAACACCAGUGGCGAAGGCGAUUCUCUGGACUGUAACUGACGCUGAGGCUCGAAAGCGCGGGGAGCAAACAGGAUUAGAUACCCU